rnacentral:rRNA from 1 species
GGCGAACGGGUGAGUAAUGCAUCGGAACAUACCCAGUCGUGGGGGAUAACGUAGCGAAAGUUACGCUAAUACCGCAUACGUCCUGAGGGAGAAAGCGGGGGAUCGCAAGACCUCGCGCGAUUGGAGUGGCCGAUGUCAGAUUAGCUAGUUGGUGGGGUAAAGGCCCACCAAGGCGACGAUCUGUAGCGGGUCUGAGAGGAUGAUCCGCCACACUGGGACUGAGACACGGCCCAGACUCCUACGGGAGGCAGCAGUGGGGAAUUUUGGACAAUGGGGGAAACCCUGAUCCAGCCAUGCCGCGUGCGGGAAGAAGGCCUUCGGGUUGUAAACCGCUUUCAGCCGGAAAGAAAUCGCACGGACUAAUACUCUGUGUGGAUGACGGUACCGGAAGAAGAAGCACCGGCUAACUACGUGCCAGCAGCCGCGGUAAUACGUAGGGUGCGAGCGUUAAUCGGAAUUACUGGGCGUAAAGCGUGCGCAGGCGGUUUCUUAAGCCAGACGUGAAAUCCCCGGGCUUAACCUGGGAACUGCGUUUGGAACUGGGAGACUAGAGUGUGUCAGA